UAGAGUUUGAUCAUGGCUCAGAUUGAACGCUGGCGGCAGGCCUAACACAUGCAAGUCGAGCGGAAACGAGAAUAGCUUGCUAUUCGGCGUCGAGCGGCGGACGGGUGAGUAAUGCCUGGGAAAUUGCCCUGAUGUGGGGGAUAACCAUUGGAAACGAUGGCUAAUACCGCAUAAUAGCUUCGGCUUAAAGAGGGGGACCUUCGGGCCUCUCGCUUCAGGAUAUGCCCAGGUGGGAUUAGCUAGUUGGUGAGGUAAAGGCUCACCAAGGCGACGAUCCCUAGCUGGUCUGAGAGGAUGAUCAGCCACACUGGAACUGAGACACGGUCCAGACUCCUACGGGAGGCAGCAGUGGGGAAUAUUGCACAAUGGGCGCAAGCCUGAUGCAGCCAUGCCGCGUGUAUGAAGAAGGCCUUCGGGUUGUAAAGUACUUUCAGCAGUGAGGAAGGGUGUGUAGUUAAUAGCUGCAUACUUUGACGUUAGCUGCAGAAGAAGCACCGGCUAACUCCGUGCCAGCAGCCGCGGUAAUACGGAGGGUGCGAGCGUUAAUCGGAAUUACUGGGCGUAAAGCGCAUGCAGGUGGUUUGUUAAGUCAGAUGUGAAAGCCCGGGGCUCAACCUCGGAACCGCAUUUGAAACUGGCAGGCUAGAGUACUGUAGAGGGGGGUAGAAUUUCA
rnacentral:rRNA from 1 species